rnacentral:misc_RNA from 1 species
AACUUUCAACAACGGAUCACUUGGCUCUCGCAUCGAUGAAGAACGCAGCGAAAUGCGAUAAGGAAUGUGAAUUGCAGAAUUCAGUGAAUCAUCGAAUCUUUGAACGCAUAUUGCGCUCUUUGGUAUUCCGAAGAGCAUGCUUGUUUGAGUAUCAGUAAACACCUCAAAGCCUUUUGUUAGUUAGAAAGGCCUUGGACUUGAGCAAUCCCAACACUUCUUUCAGAAGAGGCGGGUUGCUUGAAAUGCAGGUGCAGCUGGACAUUCUCCUGAGCUAAAAGCAUAUUCAUUUAGUCCCGUCAAACGGAUUAUUACUUUUGCUGCAGCUAACAUAAAGGGAGUCUGACCAUUUUGGCUGACUGAUGCAGGAUUUUCACAAGAGUACUUCAAAACGACUCUUGUUAAACUCGAUCUCAAAUCAAGUAAGACUACCCGCUGAACUUAAGCAUAUCAAUAAGCGGAGGCU